CAGUUUAGAAGGAAGAUGACUGUAUUCCUGAUAAGUCUCUUCUCUCAUUAAUUGUGGAGGCUCUGGAGUCAUACCUAAAGUUUUUGAAUUCCAUUUCUGGCACUUACUAGCUGUAUAUCAUUGAACACCUUGCUUGGCUCCUCUAAACCUGUUUUCUCACCAGUAAAGUGGGUUAAAAUACCUUUCUCAUAAGAUUGUAGUCAAAAGUGAAUGGAUAAAUAUGUUUGACUCAUCAUAGGCUCUCCAUAAAUGUUUAUGACCAAGACCACCAAUAGUAGUAUUAUCGCCAGUACACACAAAAAAAUCGGAAUAAUGCCAAAUUCAGAAAAGCUCUACUUGCUCUGUGUUGUAUGGUUGCGAACAUUUGGAAGAUUAGUUACACAAGACUGUAUUUUACCAUAGGGUUUUUUGGAAAAAUACAGAGUAACUUCCGUGAUGUUUCUGAUCCCAGUGCUCUAUGUAGUUCCACUGUGCAUGAUAAUCUCAGGCAGAGGGAAAAAGAAAUAUAGGGACAAAAACAUAGAGCCAGAUUAACACUUUACUUACUUUGUUUACAAUGUUAGUACAGACCUUGAAGAUUGAAAAAAGCACGUCUAAAGAGCCAGUUGAUUUUGAGCAAUGGAUUGAAAAAGAUUUGGUACACACAGGGGGGCAGCUUCAAAAUGAAGAAAUUGUGGCACGUGAUGGUUCUGCUACUUACUUGAGAUUCAUUAUUGUAUCAGCCUUUGAUCAUUUUGCAUCUGUGCAUAGCGUUUCUGCAGAAGGAACAGUAGUCUCAAAUCUUUCCUCAUAAUGAUAACAAAAUGCUCUUGCAUGAUUUUUUAACAAUAUAUUUAUUUAAACAGGAAGUUGUCACUGAUAUACUUCAUUAAAACGAUUUUUAUCA
rnacentral:sRNA from 1 species